UACAGGGGGAGCAAGCGUUAUCCGGAAUGAUUGGGCGUAAAGCAUUCGUAGGUGGUAGGUGAAGUCUACUGUCAAAUACCAGGGCUCAACCUUGGACAGGCAGUGGAGUACUCAUUUACUAGAGCGUGGUAGAGGUAGAGGGAAUUCCCCGUGGAGCGGUGAAAUGCGUAGAGAUGGGGAAGAACACCGGUGGCGAAGGCGGGUUGCUGGGCCGACACUGACGCUGACAGUGCGAAAGCUAGGGGAGCGAACGGG
rnacentral:rRNA from 1 species